AAUGUAUUGCCUGCUCUCCUGUACUGCUGAGGUUUGCUACCAACUAGGUGGAUUUGGCUAUGGAGCUUGUCUAGUGCCCUCUGUUGGUAGCAACAGCAAUAUGCACGACCUGAAUAGCAAGACUGGUUUAUUUACAUAUUCGGGUAGAUUUGCAUAUUGCUAAUUCUGCAGGCACGUGAGAUAUUUUCUGUUAAAUAUUGUCUCCCCCACCCCUUUAAAAAUGUGCCAUUGUGUUAUAAUAAGUCACUGUAUGUUGCCUGCUAUGAUUUGGCUGUUUGUAAUUGUAUUGAGUUUUCACAGCAUUGUUAAUGUAAUGACCAUAUCGGCUAGUCCCAAGCAAAAUAGAGGUUUAGACAGUUCUUCUUGAUCCCU